CCACAUCCAGCGCAGGGACUUACAGAGCUGCACUCCCAUCCCAUCACCAUGCUGGGUCCGCUGAGAAUCUGCAUUUUCCUGCUUGGCCUCUCAGGGGCCCGGGCACAGGUGGUUCUGACCCAGUCCAGCCCGGAGAUUAAGAAACCCGGGGAAUCCACUAAACUCACAUGUACCGUGAGCGGCUUUGCUCUCAGCAGCACUAGCAUGCACUGGGUCCGACAGGCUCCGGGAAAGGGGCUGCAGUGGCUGAUCUACUAUUAUUCAUCGUCUAGCAACAGCUACUCCCCGACCAUCCAGGGGCGAUUCACAGCCUCCAAGGACAGCUCCAAUUUCUACCUACACAUGACCAGCCUGAGAGCGGAGGACACCGCCGUGUAUUACUGCGCGAGGGACACA